ensembl:snRNA U1 U1 spliceosomal RNA
CUGCUUAUCUGGCAUGGGAGAGACUAUGAUCACAAACAUAGUUUCCUAGGGUGAGGCUCAUCCACCUAGGCUGACCCCUUUUAUCUCCCUAAACACAGGAAACUCAACUACAUAAUUUGUGGUAGUGAGAAAUGGCAUUCAUGCUCUCCCUGU